rnacentral:rRNA from 1 species
UACGUAGGGUGCAAGCGUUGUCCGGAAUUAUUGGGCGUAAAGAGCUCGUAGGCGGUUUGUCGCGUCUGCUGUGAAAACCCGAGGCUCAACCUCGGGCCUGCAGUGGGUACGGGCAGACUAGAGUGCGGUAGGGGAGAUUGGAAUUCCUGGUGUAGCGGUGGAAUGCGCAGAUAUCAGGAAGAACACCCGUGGCGAAAGCGGCUCUCUGGAACGGUACUGACGCUGAGACGCGAAAGCGUGGGGAGCGAACGGG